CGGGCCGUGGCUCAGCUUGGUAGAGCGCUUGUCUGGGGGACAAGAGAUCGGUGGUUCAAAUCCACUCGGCCCGACCA
rnacentral:tRNA from 1 species